rnacentral:rRNA from 1 species
GAUGAACGCUGGCGGCGUGCCUAAUACGUGCAAGUCGAGCGAACAGACGAGGAGCUUGCUCCUCUGACGUUAGCGGCGGACGGGUGAGUAACACGUGGAUAACCUACCUAUAAGACUGGGAUAACUUCGGGAAACCGGAGCUAAUACCGGAUAAUAUAUUGAGCCGCAUGGUUCAAUAGUGAAAGACGGUUUUGCUGUCACUUAUAGAUGGAUCCGCGCCGCAUUAGCUAGUUGGUAAGGUAACGGCUUACCAAGGCAACGAUGCGUAGCCGACCUGAGAGGGUGAUCGGCCACACUGGAACUGAGACACGGUCCAGACUCCUACGGGAGGCAGCAGUAGGGAAUCUUCCGCAAUGGGCGAAAGCCUGACGGAGCAACGCCGCGUGAGUGAUGAAGGUCUUCGGAUCGUAAAACUCUGUUAUUAGGGAAGAACAAAUGUGUAAGUAACUAUGCACGUCUUGACGGUACCUAAUCAGAAAGCCACGGCUAACUACGUG